CCUACGGGGGGCAGCAGUGAGGAAUAUUGGUCAAUGGGAGAGAUCCUGAACCAGCCAAGCCGCGUGAGGGAAGACGGCCCUAUGGGUUGUAAACCUCUUUUGUCGGAGAACAAAACCCGGGACGCGUCCCGGUCUGCGUGUAUCCGAAGAAAAAGCAUCGGCUAACUCCGUGCCAGCAGCCGCGGUAAUACGGAGGAUGCGAGCGUUAUCCGGAUUUAUUGGGUUUAAAGGGUGCGUAGGCGGUCCGUUAAGUCAGCGGUAAAAUUGCGGGGCUCAACCCCGUCGAGCCGUUGAAACUGGCAUACUUGAGUGAGCGAGAAGUACGCGGAAUGCGUGGUGUAGCGGUGAAAUGCAUAGAUAUCGCGCAGAACUCCGAUUGCGAAGGCAGCGUACCGGCGCCAGACUGACGCUGAGGCACGAAAGCGUGGGGAUCGAACAGGAUUAGAUACCCGAGUAGUC
rnacentral:rRNA from 1 species